UAUGGCUCCUCCUGUCAACAGUCAAUUACGACAUCAAGAUGCAUUGUUUAUUUACAGACUAAUUUUGAAAAUUUGGAAGCAAUUCGCACUAAAAGAUUCCAAUAAUGUAUUCGUCAGUAGUAGCCUUUUUAAUUGGUGUUCUUACUAGACAGUGUGGAUCACAACAAAUCGGUCACCCAACGUCUGGAUCUCCAUCGAGUGGAAUGGCGGAGCUACAAAAUAUGAUUCCGAACAAUGUUGUUAGCAUGAUAUCAAAUUCACUCCCGCAAGAGUACCGACAUUUGGUGCCUGGGUUCAAUCAACCCAAUCCCGUGUCAAACUCUGUUAGCAAUUCAAAUACGAAUCCUGUGCCUGGUCUUGAAAUUCCUAACUGGUUUCAACAAGGGCCGACCAAUUCAAACAUAGGAAAUGGCUCACCCGGACACAUGCAAGGAAAUAACUCACCUGGACAUGUAUCAGGAAAUAGUCCAUCGGGACAAAUGGCAGGGAAUGGCCAAUCUGGUCAUACAACAGGAAAUAGUCCAUUGGGUCAAUCAACGUGGAAUGGUCCCUCUGGCCAUACGAAUGGAAAUAAUCCAUCGGCGGGGCACAUGCCAGGAAAUAGUCCAUCGAGUCAAACUCAAGGGAAUGGUCCCUCUAGCCACAUGGCAGGAAAUAGUCCACCGGGUCAUAUGGCAGGGCAAAACAAUGGAUCACCAGCCUUCUGGGAACCAGCACCAGGAACUGGCCCUGGUGGAAUUAACACCGGCGGACCAUAUGUGAAUGCAAUGGGACAAAUGGCAAAAGCGUUUGCACAAGAUCUUUUGAAAGCAAUGCAAAUACCACAUUCUGUGAUAUAAAAUGAAUGAGUACAUAAAGAA